AGCGAACGUUUGCGGCGGGCCUAACACAUGCAAGUCGAACGCACUAGCAAUAGUGAGUGGCGCACGGGUGCGUAACACGUGGGUAAUCAACCCUUCAGCUUGGGAUAACGACUUGAAAGGGUCGCUAAUACCGGAUACGGCGAGAGAGGCUUCGGCAUUUCUCGAGAAAGCCUCGCAAGGGGCACUGAAGGACGAGCCUGCGGCCCAUCAGCUAGUUGGUGAGGUAAGAGCUCACCAAGGCGAAGACGGGUAGCUGGUCUGAGAGGAUGAUCAGCCACACUGGAACUGAGACACGGUCCAGACUCCUACGGGAGGCAGCAGUGGGGAAUAUUGCGCAAUGGGCGAAAGCCUGACGCAGCCACGCCGCGUGAGCGAUGAAGGCCUUCGGGUCGUAAAGCUCUGUGGGGAGAGACGAAGAAAGCCCGUGAAGAGCGGGCCUUGACGGUAUCUCCUUAGCAAGCACCGGCUAACUCCGUGCCAGCAGCCGCGG
rnacentral:rRNA from 1 species